GUCCACACCGUAAACGUUGGGCGCUAGGUGUGGGGCCCAUUCCACGGGUUCUGUGCCGCAGCUAACGCAUUAAGCGCCCCGCCUGGGGAGUACGGCCGCAAGGCUAAAACUCAAAGGAAUUGACGGGGGCCCGCACAAGCGGCGGAGCAUGCGGAUUAAUUCGAUGCAACGCGAAGAACCUUACCUGGGUUUGACAUGCACCGGACGACGUCAGAGAUGGCGUUUCUUUUUGUCGGUGUGCAGGUGGUGCAUGGCUGUCGU
rnacentral:rRNA from 1 species